GAGGUAUAUUUGGAUCAUAUUGAGAGAUUGAGAAGUGAAGAUGCAAAGGAAGGAAGUGAACAAUGUGCUGCUAAAAGAAGAAAAGUCAAUGAUAGUCAAAGUAAACUGGAUACAGUUGGUGCUGUUUGUAUUGAUACUAAUGGAUUGAUAGGAGCUGGUGUAUCUAGUGGAGGAAUAUCAUUGAAACACACUGGAAGAAUAGGACAAGCUGGUGUGUAUGGAUGUGGUUGUUGGACCAAGAGACACAGUGACUCAUCACAGAUAGCAUCCAGUGCAUCAGGUACAUACAUCCUUAGUA